rnacentral:rRNA from 1 species
CCCUUAGAUGUUCUGGGCCGCACGCGCGCUACACUGAUGCAUUCAACGAGUCUAAAAUCUGCUCUGAUAGGGGUGGGUAAUCUUUUGAAUGUGCAUCGUGAUUGGGAUAGAUGAUUGCAAUUUUUCAUCUUCAACGAGGAGUGCCUAGUAAACGCAAGUCAUCAGCUUGCAUUGAUUACGUCCCUGCCCUUUGUACACACCGCCCGUCGCUCCUACCGAUUGAAUGAUCCGAUGAAUAUCAUGGAUUGAGGAUGCAAGUAGGUUCGCCUAUCUUCAUCUUCGAGAAGUGAAGUAAAUCUUAUCAUUUAGAGGAAGGAGAAGUCGUAACA